rnacentral:misc_RNA from 1 species
AACGGUCUAUACCUGCGGUACCUGCGGAGGGAUCAUUAAUGAGAAACUGCCCCUCGCGGGUAGAUCCCCCACCCUUUGUAAACUUACCUUUGUUGCUUUGGCAGGCCCGUCUCCGGACCGCCGGCUUCGGCUGGCCAGUGCCUGCCAGAGGAUUCUAAAACUCUGUCUGUCAGUGUUGUCUGAGUCUAUAUACAAUCGUUAAAACUUUCAGCAAUGGAUCUCUAGAUCGGAAGAGCACAC